GACGAACGCUGGCGGCGUGCUUAACACAUGCAAGUCGAACGGAAAGGCCCUUCGGGGUACACGAGUGGCGAACGGGUGAGUAACACGUGGGUGAUCUGCCCUGCACUUCGGGAUAAGCCUGGGAAACUGGGUCUAAUACCGGAUAGGACCACUGCCUGCAUGGGUGGUGGUGGAAAGCUUUUGCGGUGUGGGAUGGGCCCGCGGCCUAUCAGCUUGUUGGUGGGGUGAUGGCCUACCAAGGCGACGACGGGUAGCCGGCCUGAGAGGGUGACCGGCAACACUGGGAAUGAGAUACGGACCAGACUCCUACGGGAGGCAGCAGUGGGGAAUAUUGCACAAUGGGCGCAAGCCUGAUGCAGCGACGCCGCGUGAGGGAUGACGGCCUUCGGGUUGUAAACCUCUUUCAGCACCGACGAAGCGCAAGUGACGGUAGGUGCAGAAGAAGGACCGGCCAACUACGUGCCAGCAGCCGCCGUAA
rnacentral:rRNA from 1 species